CUGGUCCAGUGUCAGCAGGUAGGAGGGUGACCAAUGAGGCCACUGGAGGAAUUCAAGCAGAUGACUGACAUAAUCUGAUUUUCAUUUGUGUCACUGCAUUGAGAGAAGAUUAGCAGGUAAUCAUAACAGUUUUUCCUGUGUAAGUGUCAUACAUGCCUCAUUGGGGAGGGGAAAUAGCACUGUGGAUUGGCUUCUAAGUUCAAAUCACACCUGUGCCACCUACUAGUUGUGUGACCUUGAAGAGGUAGGUUCAGUCUCUCCAUCCAACAGAGCCACCAAGCAGCAAUUGGCUGCUGGAGGAGAAACACAGUACAGCCACAUGGGGGCGCUCCUUCCUCUGGGAAGCGUUUCAAUGGGCAACGUUGAGUUCAGAGAGGACCUACCAGUGCAGGUUGAAAGGUUCAGAAGUUUGGAAGCAAGAAGGCAAUCAGCUUUCCCAUCCAGACCAAAAGUUUCAUACCCACUUUUUCCAUGAACCAAAGGGCACAGGGUGAACAGCCUGGCAUUCAGCAGCCCUCCCCGGGAAGUCCUGGCCAGAAAGGGGCAGGCUGGGGAACCGCAUUACCUGGUUUCUGAUGGAGCCACGACAGGAAGUUUAUAUGCCAAGGUGAUCAGAGCAGUGGCUGUGAAAGAUGCCAAGAACAGCAUGGCCCCAAGGAGGAUGAGGAUCUGUGUACUCCUGCAAAGAAGAGAGGAUACGGAGAGGAGUGCCCUUCAGUUUCUUGCCCCACACAUGCGCUUCCUAUGGCACGAAAGGCUGGAAAUCCUGACCAUCAGAGGUGGAAAGAACAUGUUCAUUUAGAACCAGGGCUUGGCUCCAGAUGAUGUUUUGUGGAGAACCCCAGAGUUCCCAUGGAUGAUUGACAUGGUCAAAAUGAGUUCCACAGACAGUCCAUGCUUGUGCCAGAUGAGAUGGUUACCAGUAUUUUUUUCGUCAAUGUGAGGAAGCGCCUGGGGGCAAUUCUCUCCAAAGGGCCCUGGCACCUCUGCUUUCAAGGAUCUAAGCGGCUGCCCUCUGCAUAGCCUGGUACGGUUACACCAACUGCAUGGCAAGAAGCCAUCCCCCACUCACACAGCCCACCUUCCUACAGCAUCACCAGUACUCCAGAGAAAAUACCAGAAUCAGGUUGGCCCUUGGAAAGUUCACCACACUGCUUGAAGAAAUGAGACUCCAGGUUUGCACCCUUCUGCCUUUUCAAAGCCAGCAACUUGAGACUCACCGCAUUCUUGACCGACACAAAGUUAUUUAGCAACAGCAGAUUCGUCCACCAUGCUUGCCGGCAGUUAUCCCAGUGGAAUUUGGGCAUUUCCCAGACAGGUCCCCAGGGAACAAGAGAGAACAGUCCAACCAACAAGCACAUUGAAUACAGGUGAAGAGGCUGCAACCUGGCAGGAGAGAACCGAGAGAAAGAAGGUGACUUUCCACCGGGGUCCCUCCAGUCAUCUCAGUGGGCACGUGGCGGGUGGGGCAUAAGGUGCUCUAAAACAGAUUGUUUGUACCGUGGGCAGCUGCCACCCAGCCACACCUCAAACGUUCAAGCAUCCACGAGUUCCAGAUCACUUACUGAGCACCUAUCAUGUACUGGCUCAGGUGCUACUGCUGCAAAAAUACUGCUAUUUAUUUCUCUUUUUUUAAGAGACAGGGUCUCACUCACUACGGCCCUGACUUCCACCUCCUGGGCUCAAGCGAUCCUCUCACCUCAACCUCCCAAUUAGCUAGAACUGCAGGCGCAUGCCACCAUGUUCCACUAAAAAUACUGUUAUUUAUUGAGCAAGUCAUAUAGGCCAACCACUGUGGGAGGAGCCUGCUAGAGAUUUCUAAACCUCAAAACAAUCCUGCAAGGUAGCUAUGACCUCCAUUUUAUGAAGAAAUUAUAGCUAAGAGAAGAUAGGGUGACUUGCCCAAGGUCACCAACCACAUAGCAGUACCAAGAUCUGACACUGGUUCAUGUUCUUUCCACAUGGCCUCACACGAUGAAAAACUCUUUCUUCCUUCCCUCCCUCACUUGCUUCAUUUCUCCCUUCCUUCACGCCCUACCUCCUCCAAGCAAGAUCUGAAGCAGCUACAAAGGGGAAGAAUCAGGAGUAAGGUGUCUAGACCAGCGCUGUUCAACAGAAACAGGAUGCAAGCACAGCUGCCCCCAGUUUUACACUUUCCAGCAGCCACAAUUUAAAAGAGAUGAGCAAAUGCAAGCACAGAAAGACUGAGAGAGACACUUAACUCAAGGUCACACCGCUGCUAUGUGAUUGAGCCAGAAUACACGCUCAGCAGUCCAACUACAGAGUCUGCACUUGCCCACUGCAUUUCACUAGUCCCAAAGAUUAUGACAACACUCCUCUUCCUAUUUUGUGACAGUGUGGUAUAACAAGAUGAACGUGAACCAGGAGUCAGGAGUGCUGGCUUCCAGCUCAGCAAAUAACCACGACAUAGAAAAUAUAUCAAUGGCAGGGUUGGAUGACAUGAGCUGAAGUUUCCUUUUCUCCCUUAACUUUGUUGUUUUUUUUGUUUGUUUGUUUUGAGACAGGGUCUCACUCUGUUGCCCACGCUGGAGUGCAGUGGCAGGAUCUUGGCUCACUGCAACCUCCACCUCCGGAGUUCAAGUGAUUCUCCCACCUCAACUUCCCGAGUAGCUGGGAUUACAGUCGUGUGCCACCACGCUCAGCUAAUCAUUUGUAUUUUUGGUAGAGAAAGGGUUUCACCAUGUUAGCCAGGCUGGUCUCAAACUCCUCACCUCAAGUGAUAUGCCCCCCUCAGCCUCCCAAGGGCCUCCCCAAAACGCCUGAGAUUACAGGCAUGAGCCACUGUGCCCAGCCCUUCCUCCCUUAACUUUGGUUGUCUCAUUCUGUCACUGCCACUCUGCUACCACCGAUUCCGUAUUCUGCCCCAGUGUUGGAAUCCCUUCUGCAUCAACCAACCACACAUUCCUAAAGGAGACCGUCAGCUAGGCACGGUGGCUCACGCCUGCAAUCCCAGGACUUUGGGAGGCCGAGACAGGCAGAUCACGAGGUCAGGAGUUCAAGACCAGCCUGGCCAACAUAGUGAAACCCCGUCUCUACUAAAAAUACAAAAAAAAAUCAAAUCAAAUAUUAGCCAGUCAUGGUGGCGGGCGCCUGUAAUCCCACCUACUCAGGAGGCUGAGGCAGGAGAAUUGCUUGAACCCAGCAGGCAGAGGUUGAAGUGAGCAGAGAUGGCGUCACUGCACUCCAGCCUGGGUCACAGUGCGAGACUCUGUCUCAAAAACAAAAAAAAAAAAAAAAAAAAAAGGAGAUCGUCAUUCUUCCUGCCUCCCUCCCAGCAGAAUGGCCAUGGCCCAGAGCUUCAACCAAGUUCCUUUCCUGGUCACGUACUGUUUUAUUUUUAUCAUUACCAUUAGCACUCUGAUUUAUAGGAUCCAAUUACUACUAAUUUGCAGACAAACAAAUUUUCCUGUUGAAUACAGAUUCCAUGGAAAUCUGACAGUGCAUUUAUUGAACUCUGCUGCCCAUCAGCUGAGGACUAAGGAUGUUUUUGCCAGUGGAACAUACCAGUUUUCAUGGUAUUUGUCCCAGUAGAAUUUGAUCCAUAUUAAACCAGCUUAAAUCAACUGUAUUUAGGGAAGAAAACUAUUUCUUUCAGUUUAUUUUUCUUUGGAAAUUCUUUGAAAAGAGGGUUAAAGACAGAAAACUAAUAAAUCGUUACAUAGCAAUGAGGAAUUGAGAAAUUAAGUAAAUAAACCUACUGUCAGGCCUCUGAGCCCAAGCUAAGCCAUCAUAUCCCCUGUGACCUGCACAUAUACAUCCAGAUGGCCUGAAGCAACUGAAGAUCCACAAAAGAAGUGAAAAUAGCCUUAACUGAUGACGUUCCACCAUUGUGAUUUGUUUCUGCCCCACCCUAACUGAUCAAUGUACUUUGUAAUCUCCCCCACCCUUAAGAAGUUUCUUUGUAAUUCUCCCCACCCUUGAGAAUGUACUUUGUGAGAUCCACCCACUGCCCCCCGCAAAACAUUGCUCCUAACUCCACCGCCUAUACCAAAACCUAUAAGAACUAAUGAAAAGCCCACCACCCUUUGCUGACUCUCUUUUCGGACUCAGCCCACCUGCACCCAGGUGAAAUAAACAGCCUUGUUGCUUGCACAAAGCCUGUCUGGUGGUCUCUUCACACGGACACACGUGACACCUACCUUACCAGGUGACUGAGAAAGUAUCUGAGUAUGCCUUUGGGGGUUAUUCCUUUGUCUGAAUUCUGAUGCAUCUUUAAAAACGAACUUGCACUUAACCAACCACUAAAAGAAAAAGAAGAAUUGUCG
rnacentral:lncRNA from 1 species